UACAGAGGGUGCGAGCGUUGUCCGGAAUCACUGGGCGUAAAGGGCGCGUAGGUGGCCACUGUAAGGCCGUGGUGAAAGUCCGGGGCUCAACCCCGGAUCUGCCGCGGCGACUGCAGGGCUUGGGCACCGUAGAGGCAGAUGGAAUUCCGGGUGUAGCGGUGGAAUGCGUAGAGAUCCGGAAGAACACCGGUGGCGAAGGCGGUCUGCUGGGCGGUGGGCUCGCAAGAGCCUCUUAGCCGACACUGAGGCGCGACAGCGUGGGGAGCAAACAGG
rnacentral:rRNA from 2 species